rnacentral:rRNA from 1 species
AGGACAUGUGGUUAAUUCGAUGAUACGCGAGGAACCUUACCUGGGCUUAAAUGGGGAGUGACAGCUGUCGAAAGAUGGUUUUCUUCGGACACUCUUCAAGGUGCUGCAUGGUUGUCGUCAGCUCGUGCCGUGAGGUGUCGGGUUAAGUCCCAUAACGAGCGCAACCCUUACCGUUAGUUACCAUCAGGUUAAGCUGGGGACUCUAGCGGGACUGCCACCGUAAGGUGAGAGGAAGUGGGGAUGACGUCAAAUCAGCACGGCCCUUAUGUCCAGGGCUACACACGUGUUACAAUGGCCGGUACAAAGGGCAGCUACUUCGCGAGAAGAUGCUAAUCUCGAAAGCCGGUCUCAGUUCGGAUCGAAGUCUGCAACCCGACUUCGUGAAGCUGGAUUCGCUAGUAAUCGCGCAUCAGCCAUGGCGCGGUGAAUACGUUCCCGGGCCUU